rnacentral:rRNA from 1 species
AGAGUUUGAUCGUGGCUCAGAAUCAACGCUGGCGGCGUGCCUAACACAUGCAAGUCGAACGCGAAAGGGGCUUCGGCCCUGAGUAGAGUGGCGAACGGGUGAGUAACACGUGGGUGAUCUACCUUCGAGUGGGGGAUAACGUCCCGAAAGGGACGCUAAUACCGCAUGACGUUCUGGGUUUGAAGACCUGGAAACCAAAGCCGGGGACCGCAAGGCCUGGCGCUUGAAGAGGAGCCCGCGUCCGAUUAGCUAGUUGGCGGGGUAAUGGCCCACCAAGGCGACGAUCGGUAGCCGGCCUGAGAGGGCGGACGGCCACACUGGAACUGAGACACGGUCCAGACUCCUACGGGAGGCAGCAGUGGGGAAUUGUUCACAAUGGGCGCAAGCCUGAUGACGCAACGCCGCGUGGGGGAUGAAGGUCUUCGGAUUGUAAACCCCUGUCGAAUGGGACGAAAGACUCGGGAGCUAAUCAUCUCGAGAGUGACGGUACCGUUAAAGGAAGCCACGGCUAAACUCUGUGCCAGCCGCCGCAGUAAC